UUUUUUUUUUAGGGUGGCACCCAAGACAUAGCCCAGGCAAGGGGGUUCCCAGGCUAGGGGUUAAACUGGAGCCAUAGCCCCAGCCUACGUCACAGCCACAGCCACAGCCACAGCAAUGCCAUAUCCGAGCCACGUCUGGGACCUACAGCACAGCUCACAGCAAUGCCGGAUCCUUAACCCACUGAGUGAAGCCAGGGAUCGAACCUGCAACCUCACGGAUACUAGUGGGGUUCUCAAGCCACUGAGCCACAGUGGAACUCCAAAGUAGCCAGUUUAACCAAGACUUCCUGGGAAGAAAGUCCUUUAUAGAAUUCCACGCCUCUGGGGCAGAAUUACCGACACCCUGUGACCAGCUGGCCUGUUGGUAUGCUUCCUUAUAUCUUGUUCCACUUGUCAGUGGUAUUUGUCCACGUGCAGCAGGAGGUGUUGCCGUCACACAGAUGCUGCCUUGUUCUGCCAGGAGAUACCCUGGGCCGUUCUAGUAUCCGUUACUACACUGGCUAAGGAAUCACCACCAUCUUAACCUAGAGACUAGGGUUUGGGCCAGUUCCUCCACCAAGGCUGUUAGAUUUCAAAGGGGUGACAGGCACCCCCUCCCUGUGGCACUCCUGAGACAGGCUGGGACCUGGGACAUAGGGCUGCCAUGCUUGCCCCAGACAAAGUCCUCUAGCAACAAAAUACAAAGAAGCCAUAAGCGACAAAAAAGAGCUGCAUGAGUGUGCAGCUGGGGCAAAUUAAGGGUGACAAGAUAGAAAAAGGCCAAAACCCAACUGCCACUUACAAAGAGUCGGGAGCAAAAAUGCGUCAUAGCAAAAGCAGGGCACCACACAUGCCCAGCAUAUACCACCUGCAACGGGGUGGCCAAACCACCGAAGCCGCCCCUCUGGCCCCACCCCUCAUAAGGAACCUGCUCUCCCCCCACCCCCAGUCCCCCAGGGAGCAGGGAAAGGACUGACUCUUGUUUUCUCUCCUUCCAUCCUGGCUGCAGCAGGAGUUCUGAAUGAAGCCUUUCCUAAAUGUCUUGCUGGCUCCUGGUCCAUUGCUCCUGCCUGGGAAGACCUAGAGCCCUGGUGGGAGUUCCCGGCGUGGCGCAGCGGAAACAAAUCCGACUAAGAACCAUGAGGUCGCCGGUUUGAUCCCUGGCCUCACUCAAUGCUGGUCGGGUUUGUGACCCACUGAGCCACGACCGGAAGCCCCAGCGUUUCUUCAGGCUGUGACCAGCCUGUCCCGCUUUUCCUGGACCGAGGUACCCAGAUGAUUAGAGGUGGUAUGCUAAUUUCUAGGGCCCACGGGAGCUGCUGGGUGACCUUUGCGGUGAGCAAGCCUCCACUGUCACUCUGGAGGUGACGGGGUAACCCCAACCUAGGGGCGAGCUCCCUCAGAAGCGCCUUAGCCCCUCCGCUGCCCUUUCUGGCCUGUGGGGAAGGCCUCUACCCGCCCGGUAAGAGUAUCAACAAAGACCAGCACGUAUUUGAAGCCCUGGGAAGAGGGCGCCUGGCUGAAAUCUUCCUGCCGGGCCUCCCCCGGCCAAGCCCCAUGUGGAUGCACUGGGCAAACAAAAUGGGGGCUGAGGCUGUCCCUAGACGGGGGCGCAGAGGGCACGGGCUCAGGUGACGCACCUGACUGUGUCUGGAAGCCCCUUCCCUGUGAAAAGCCGGAAGACCGUUGUAGACGCGGCCUCUGCCCGGAUGGAGACUCAGGCAGCCCUUCCAUCCCCCACUGGCCAGCGGGGGGCGGGGGGGGGGUGGCCGCCUCUGCUCCAGGGGCCACCAGCCGCCUGUGCCCUCACCUCCCCCUCUGUCUCGAGCCAGGUCUCUUCAGAAGCUGAAGCCUGGAGUUCCUGCUGUGGUGCAAUGGGACCGGUGGCGCCUUGGGAGCGCUGGGACACAGGUUCGAUCCCUGGCCCGGCCCAGCGGGUUAAAAAUCUGGUGUUGCCACAGCUGCAGCUUACGUGGUAACCACAGCUGGAAUCUGAUCCCUGGCCUAGGAACUCCAUAGGCCAUGGGGUGGCCCAAAAAGGAAAAACAAAAAAAGCAGCUGAGUCUCCCUGAGUAGCAC
rnacentral:lncRNA from 1 species